rnacentral:rRNA from 1 species
UACGUAGGGAGCAAGCGUUGUCCGGAUUUACUGGGCGUAAAGAGCGCGUAGGCGGAAGCUUAAGUGUGGCCUGAAAGCCCCCGGCUCAACCGGGGAGGGUGGCUGCAAACUGGGCUUCUUGAGGGGGAUAGAGGAAGGUGGAAUUCCGGGUGUAGCGGUGAAAUGCGUAGAGAUCCGGAGGAACACCUGCGGCGAAGGCGGGUUGCUGGGCUGACACUGACGCUGACAGCGCGAAAGCUAGGGGAGCGAACGGG